rnacentral:rRNA from 1 species
UACAGAGGUCCCAAGCGUUGUUCGGAUUCAUUGGGCGUAAAGGGUGCGUAGGCGGCGCGGUAAGUCGGGUGUGAAAUCUCGGAGCUUAACUCCGAAACUGCAUUCGAUACUGCCGUGCUUGAGGACUGGAGAGGAGACUGGAAUUUACGGUGUAGCGGUGAAAUGCAUAGAUAUCAGGAGGAACACCGGUGGCGAAGGCGGGUCUCUGGGCCGAUACUGACGCUGAGGAGCGAAAGCGUGGGGGAGCGAACAGG